rnacentral:rRNA from 1 species
GCUAAACGCGAAGAACCUUACCUGGGUUUGACAUGCACAGGACGCACCUAGAGAUAGGUGUUCCCUUGUGGCCUGUGUGCAGGUGGUGCAUGGCUGUCGUCAGCUCGCGUCGUGAGAUGUUGGGUUAAGUCCCGCAACGAGCGCAACCCUUGUCCUAUGUUGCCAGCGGGUGAUGCCGGGGACUCGUAGGAGACUGCCGGGGUCAACUCGGAGGAAGGUGGGGAUGACGUCAAGUCAUCAUGCCCCUUAUGUCCAGGGCUUCACACAUGCUACAAUGGCCGGUACAAUGGGCUGCGAUACCGUGAGGUGGAGCGAAUCCCAAAAAGCCGGUCUCAGUUCGGAUCGGGGUCUGCAACUCGACCCCGUGAAGUCGGAGCCGCUAGUAAUCGCAGAUCAGCAACGCUGCGGUGAAUACGUUCCCGGGUCUUGUACACACCG